rnacentral:rRNA from 1 species
CCAAUAGCGUAUAUUAAAGUUGUUGCAGUUAAAAAGCUCGUAGUUGAAUUUCGGGGUUAGUAGGUUGGUCAUGCCAUCGGUAUGUACUGGUCUCACUGAUUCCUCCUUCCUGAUGAACCGUAAUGCCAUUAAUUUGGUGUUGCGGGGAGACUGGACUGUUACUUUGAAAAAAUUAGAGUGUUUAAAGCAAGCUAACGCUUGAAUACAUUAGCAUGGAAUAAUGAAAUAGGACGUUCGAUCCUAUUUUGUUGGUUUCUAGGAUUGACGUAAUGAUUAAUAGGGAUAGUUGGGGGCAUUAGUAUUCAAUUGUCAGAGGUGAAAUUCUUGGAUUUAUUGAAGACUAACUACUGCGAAAGCAUUUGCCAAGGAUGUUUUCAUUAAUCAAGAACGAAAGUUAGGGGAUCGAAGACGAUCAGAUACCGUCGUAGUCUUAACCAUAAACUAUGCCGACUAGGGAUCGGAUGAUGUUAAUUUUUUAAUGACUCAUUCGGCGCCUUACG